rnacentral:rRNA from 1 species
UUAAGUUAGAAAGGGCGCACGGUGGAUGCCUUGACACUAGGAGUCGAUGAAGGACGGGACUAACGCCGAUAUGCUUCGGGGAGCUGUAAGUAAGCUUUGAUCCGAAGAUUUCCGAAUGGGGAAACCCACCAUACGUAAUGGUAUGGUAUCCUUAUCUGAAUACAUAGGGUAAGGAAGACAGACCCAGGGAACUGAAACAUCUAAGUACCUGGAGGAAGAGAAAGCAAAUGCGAUUUCCUGAGUAGCGGCGAGCGAAACGGAACAUAGCCCAAACCAAGAGGCUUGCCUCUUGGGGUUGUAGGACAUUCUAUACGGAGUUACAAAGGAACGAGGUAGACGAAGCGACCUGGAAAGGUCCGUCGUAGAGGGUAACAACCCCGUAGUCGAAACUUCGUUCUCUCUUGAAUGUAUCCUGAGUACGGCGGAACACGUGAAAUUCCGUCGGAAUCUGGGAGGACCAUCUCCCAAGGCUAAAUACUCCCUAGUGAUCGAUAGUGAACCAGUACCGUGAGGGAAAGGUGAAAAGCACCCCGGAAGGGGAGUGAAAGAGAUCCUGAAACCGUGUGCCUACAAAUAGUCAGAGCCCGUUAACGGGUGAUGGCGUGCCUUUUGUAGAAUGAACCGGCGAGUUACGAUCCCGUGCGAGGUUAAGCUGAAGAGGCGGAGCCGCAGCGAAAGCGAGUCUGAAUAGGGCGUUUAGUACGUGGUCGUAGACCCGAAACCAGGUGAUCUACCCAUGUCCAGGGUGAAGUUCAGGUAACACUGAAUGGAGGCCCGAACCCACGCACGUUGAAAAGUGCGGGGAUGAGGUGUGGGUAGCGGAGAAAUUCCAAUCGAACCUGGAGAUAGCUGGUUCUCCCCGAAAUAGCUUUAGGGCUAGCCUUAAGUGUAAGAGUCUUGGAGGUAGAGCACUGAUUGGACUAGGGGUCCUCAUCGGAUUACCGAAUUCAGUCAAACUCCGAAUGCCAAUGACUUAUCCUUAGGAGUCAGACUGCGAGUGAUAAGAUCCGUAGUCAAAAGGGAAACAGCCCAGACCGCCAGCUAAGGUCCCAAAGUGUGUAUUAAGUGGAAAAGGAUGUGGAGUUGCUUAGACAACUAGGAUGUUGGCUUAGAAGCAGCCACCAUUUAAAGAGUGCGUAAUAGCUCACUAGUCGAGUGACUCUGCGCCGAAAAUGUACCGGGGCUAAAUACACCACCGAAGCUGCGGAUUGAUACCGAAUGGUAUCAGUGGUAGGGGAGCGUUCUAAGGACAGUGAAGUCAGACCGGAAGGACUGGUGGAGUGCUUAGAAGUGAGAAUGCCGGUAUGAGUAGCGAAAGACGGGUGAGAAUCCCGUCCACCGAAUGCCUAAGGUUUCCUGAGGAAGGCUCGUCCGCUCAGGGUUAGUCAGGACCUAAGCCGAGGCCGACAGGCGUAGGCGAUGGACAACAGGUUGAUAUUCCUGUACCACCUCUUUAUCGUUUGAGCAAUGGAGGGACGCAGAAGGAUAGAAGAAGCGUGCGAUUGGUUGUGCACGUCCAAGCAGUUAGGCUGAUAAGUAGGCAAAUCCGCUUAUCGUAAAGGCUGAGCUGUGAUGGGGAAGCUCCUUAUGGAGCGAAGUCUUUGAUUCCCCGCUGCCAAGAAAAGCUUCUAGCGAGAUAAAAGGUGCCUGUACCGCAAACCGACACAGGUAGGCGAGGAGAGAAUCCUAAGGUGUGCGAGAGAACUCUGGUUAAGGAACUCGGCAAAAUGACCCCGUAACUUCGGGAGAAGGGGUGCUUUCUUAACGGAAAGCCGCAGUGAAUAGGCCCAAGCGACUGUUUAGCAAAAACACAGCUCUCUGCGAAGCCGUAAGGCGAAGUAUAGGGGGUGACACCUGCCCGGUGCUGGAAGGUUAAGGAGAGGGGUUAGCGUAAGCGAAGCUCUGAACUGAAGCCCCAGUAAACGGCGGCCGUAACUAUAACGGUCCUAAGGUAGCGAAAUUCCUUGUCGGGUAAGUUCCGACCCGCACGAAAGGUGUAACGAUUUGGGCACUGUCUCAACCAGAGACUCGGUGAAAUUAUAGUACCUGUGAAGAUGCAGGUUACCCGCGACAGGACGGAAAGACCCCGUGGAGCUUUACUGUAGCCUGAUAUUGAAUUUUGGUACAGUUUGUACAGGAUAGGCGGGAGCCUUUGAAACCGGAGCGCUAGCUUCGGUGGAGGCGCUGGUGGGAUACCGCCCUGACUGUAUUGAAAUUCUAACCUACGGGUCUUAUCGACCCGGGAGACAGUGUCAGGUGGGCAGUUUGACUGGGGCGGUCGCCUCCUAAAGUGUAACGGAGGCGCCCAAAGGUUCCCUCAGAAUGGUUGGAAAUCAUUCGUAGAGUGCAAAGGCAUAAGGGAGCUUGACUGCGAGACCUACAAGUCGAGCAGGGACGAAAGUCGGGCUUAGUGAUCCGGUGGUUCCGCAUGGAAGGGCCAUCGCUCAACGGAUAAAAGCUACCCCGGGGAUAACAGGCUUAUCUCCCCCAAGAGUCCACAUCGACGGGGAGGUUUGGCACCUCGAUGUCGGCUCAUCGCAUCCUGGGGCUGUAGUCGGUCCCAAGGGUUGGGCUGUUCGCCCAUUAAAGCGGUACGCGAGCUGGGUUCAGAACGUCGUGAGACAGUUCGGUCCCUAUCCGUCGUGGGCGUAGGAAAUUUGAGAGGAGCUGUCCUUAGUACGAGAGGACCGGGAUGGACGCACCGCUGGUGUACCAGUUGUUCUGCCAAGGGCAUAGCUGGGUAGCUAUGUGCGGAAGGGAUAAGUGCUGAAAGCAUCUAAGCAUGAAGCCCCCCUCAAGAUGAGAUUUCCCAUAGCGUAAGCUAGUAAGAUCCCUGAAAGAUGAUCAGGUUGAUAGGUUCGAGGUGGAAGC